rnacentral:rRNA from 1 species
UAGGGAAUCUUCGGCAAUGGGGGGAACCCUGACCGAGCAACGCCGCGUGAGUGAAGAAGGUUUUCGGAUCGUAAAGCUCUGUUGUUAAGGAAGAACGAGUGUGAGAAUGGAAAGUUCAUACUGUGACGGUACUUAACCAGAAAGGGACGGCUAACUACGUGCCAGCAGCCGCGGUAAUACGUAGGUCCCGAGCGUUGUCCGGAUUUAUUGGGCGUAAAGCGAGCGCAGGCGGUUAGAUAAGUCUGAAGUUAAAGGCAGUGGCUCAACCAUUGUAGGCUUUGGAAACUGUUUAACUUGAGUGCAGAAGGGGAGAGUGGAAUUCCAUGUGUAGCGGUGAAAUGCGUAGAUAUAUGGAGGAACACCGGUGGCGAAAGCGGCUCUAUGGUCUGUAACUGACGCUGAGGCUCGAAAGCGUGGGGAGCGAACAGG